GCAGACACAUUCCAGCCAAUCAGCAGCAGACCCUCCCUCCCAGACCCUCCCACCUCCUGGACAGCAUCCAUUUUACAUUCAUUAGUGAGCUGUCCAGGAGGUGGGAGGGUCUGGGAGGGAGGGUCUGCUGCUGAUUGGCUGGAAAGUGUCUG